NNAAUACAGAGAAGAUUAGCAUGGCCUUCUGCGCAAGGAUGACACGCAAAUUUGUGAAGCAUUCCAUAUUUUU
rnacentral:snRNA from 1 species